UACGGGGGGGGCAAGCGUUGUUCGGAAUUACUGGGCGUAAAGGGUUCGUAGGUGGCCAACGUCAGUCAGACGUGAAAUCCCUCAGCUUAACUGGGGAACUGCGUCUGAUACUGGAUGGCUCGAGUGCAGGAGAGGAACGCGGAAUUCCAGGUGUAGCGGUGAAAUGCGCAGAUAUCGGGAGGAACACCAAUGGCGAAGGCAGCUUGCUGGGACGGUACUGACGCUGAGGCGC
rnacentral:rRNA from 1 species